ACUUACAAACAAUCAGCUUCUCUUCUUGACAUGUGAAGUCUCAAGGCUCACUCUACACUAACUUAUCUAUAAUUAAUUGUUAUUAUUAUUAUGUCCCCCACACCUUUCCUCUCGCCUUUAUGAAUUUUUGAUCACACCAUAAAAUAAAUUUAAGGGUUUACACUUCACUCUGACUCUCAGAAUUUAAAACCUUCUCAUCAGAGUAGGCAAUAAUUCCCUCCCUUGUGUGUCCUCUGCUCACUCUCUAAAAUCAAACUGAACCACAAGCAGAAGCAUAAAACCCUAGUGGGUGUCUUGCGUUGUGUACAAUUUCUUCAUUUCUGUCUAUCUUUCUCACUUCUCAACUAAAAUGGGUUCAAGAAAUUUGGCUGUGGCAAUUGGGUUUGGGUUUUUGCUACUUGGAUUUGCAGUCUCAGACACACAGCAAGAUAAAACAGAAUGUGCAAGCCAACUUGUGGGUCUGUCGACUUGUCUUCCUUAUGUUGGUGGAACUGCUAAAGCUCCAACCUUGGAUUGCUGCGCUGGGCUUAAGCAAGUGCUAGAGAAAAGCAGAAAAUGCCUUUGUCUUCUAAUUAAAGAUCGUGAUGAUCCAACUAUUGGUGUCAAAAUCAAUGCUACUCUUGCUGCUACUCUUCCUAGUGCCUGCAACGCCCCUGCUAAUGUCACACAAUGCAUCGAUAUUCUGCACUUGUCUCCAAACUCGCCAGAUGCCAAGAUAUUUGCAGGAUUUGCCAACAUCACCAAAGGAAGCAACAGUACUGUUGCAAGUGGGAAUUCUACUGGAAGUGGAUCAAGUGCAGAGGAGAAGAGCGGUAGAGGAAUGGGAAAGAGAUCUAGAUGGGUUGGAGUUGAGAUGAUUUGUGGGGUUUUGCUAUGGGCUUUGACAGCUUUUGGCAUCUGAUGAUAUGAUGAAUAGAAGUGAGAUUAUCUAUGCUUUUGUUUUACAGAAUUUGUAGCUUUUAAUCUGUUAGUACUAUUUUUAUCCUCUAAUCUGUUCCUUUCCUUCUGGGUUGUUCUGUGUGAUAUUGUCUUUGGUCAUAAUACUUCCAACUGCAUUUGGGAAUUAGAGGGUGGUCCCAUAUAAAUUAAUUAUGUGGAUUUCUUAAGGAGAAUAAUUCCAUCAAGUUCAACUCCCUAAUUUCCCAUUUUUAUUAGCUAUCUCUAACUAGUUUUCUAUAAUUGCCAAAAUCUUAAGGUCAAAAAUGGCCGCCUUGUGACUAAGGG
rnacentral:misc_RNA from 1 species